AGAGUUUGAUCCUGGCUCAGGACGAACGCUGGCGGCGUGCUUAACACAUGCAAGUCAAGGGGGCCCAGCAAUGGGCAACCGGCGAACGGGUGCGUAACACGUGAGCAACCUACCGAAGUGUGGGGGAUAGCCGGCCUAACGGCCGAGUAAUACCGCAUACGAUUCCGAAGAGGCAUUUCUUUGGAAUGAAACCUACGGGGUACUUCGAGGGGCUCGCGGCCUAUCAGCUAGUUGGUGAGGUAACGGCUCACCAAGGCAACGACGGGUAGCUGGUCUGAGAGGAUGGCCAGCCACAUUGGGACUGAGAAACGGCCCAGACUCCUACGGGAGGCAGCAGUGGGGAAUCUUGCGCAAUGGCCUAACGGCUGACGCAGCGACGCCGCGUGAGGGAUGAAGCUCUUCGGAGUGUAAACCUCUGUUGCCCGGGACGAACAGCUCAUUUAAAUGAGCCUGACGGUACCGGGUGAGGAAGCACCGGCUAACUCCGUGCCAGCAGCCGCGGUAAUACGGGGGGUGCGAGCGUUGUCCGGAAUCACUGGGCGUAAAGGGCGCGUAGGUGGUCUGAUAAGGGUGUGGUGAAAGUCCGGGGCUCAACCCCGGAUCUGCCGUGCCGACUGUCAGACUCGAGGACUGUAGAGGCAGGCGGAAUUCCGGGUGUAGCGGUGGAAUGCGUAGAGAUCCGGAGGAAGACCGGUGGCGAAGGCGGCCUGCUGGGCAGUUACUGACACUGAGGCGCGACAGCGUGGGGAGCAAACAGGAUUAGAUACCCUGGUAGUCCACGCCGUAAACGAUGGGUACUAGGUGCCUGGGGGAGCGACCCUCUGGGUGCCGGCGCCAACGCAGGAAGUACCCCGCC
rnacentral:rRNA from 1 species